rnacentral:misc_RNA from 1 species
AACGCACAUUGCGCCUAUUAGUAUUCUAGUAGGCAUGCCUGUUCGAGCGUCAUUACAACCCUUAAGCUUCAUUGCUUAGUAUUGGGAAUCUACUUACCCGGGAGUUACCCUGUAAUUACCCUGUAGUUCCUCAAAGUCAGCGGCGGAGUCGCAGACCUCCUCUGAGCUUAGUAGAUCUCUUCUAGCUUUUGAGAGGUGGCGCCCCUCGCCGUAAAACAACCCACUUUGUAUUGUUGACCUCGGAUCAGGUAGGAAUACCCGCUGAACUUAA